UUUGGUUAAUGAACUUUAAAA
rnacentral:piRNA from 1 species